UGAAAAAAUAAUGUGACUCCUCUCUACACAA
rnacentral:piRNA from 1 species